UUCUUAUCACGAGAAGUGGAGGGACUGGCCCUAUGAAACUUCAGCAACCAGUUACGUUUGUAACAAGGUGCUAAAUCCAGUAAGCAUAUUUGCUUAGAAGAUAAGAA
rnacentral:ncRNA from 2 species